UAGAGUUUGAUCAUGGCUCAGGACGAACGCCGGCGGCGUGCCUAACACAUGCAAGUCGAGCGGAGGCGGCGGAAGAGCAAUCUGAGGCUGUCUGAGCGGCGGACGGGUGAGUAACGCGUGAGCAACCUGCCUUCCACAGGGGGAUAACGUACCGAAAGGUACACUAAUACCGCAUGAGACCACGGUACUGAUGGUACAGGGGUCAAAGGAGGAAUCCGGUGGGAGAUGGGCUCGCGUCCGAUUAGGUAGUUGGCGGGGUAAUGGCCCACCAAGCCUAUGAUCGGUAGCCGGCCUGAGAGGGUGAACGGCCACAUUGGAACUGAGAGACGGUCCAAACUCCUACGGGAGGCAGCAGUGGGGAAUAUUGGGCAAUGGGGGGAACCCUGACCCAGCAACGCCGCGUGAGGGAAGAAGGUUUUCGGAUUGUAAACCUCUGUUCUUGGAGAAGAGUGUAAGACGGUAUCCAAGGAGGAAGCCCCGGCUAACUACGUGCCAGCAGCCGCGGUAAUACGUAGGGGGCGAGCGUUGUCCGGAAUGAUUGGGCGUAAAGGGCGCGCAGGCGGCCCGACAAGUCAGUAGUGGAAGUCCAUUUUUCAAGGGUGGAAGUGCUAUUGAAACUGUAGGGCUUGAGUGCGGGAGAGGUUAUUGGAAUUCCCGGUGUAGCGGUGAAAUGCGUAGAGAUCGGGAGGAACACCAGUGGCGAAGGCGGGUAACUGGACCGCAACUGACGCUGAGGCGCGAAAGUGUGGGGAGCAAACAGGAUUAGAUACCCUGGUAGUCCACACGGUAAACGAUGAAUGCUAGGUGUAGGGGGUAUCGACCCCUUCUGUGCCGCAGUAAACACAGUAAGCAUUCCGCCUGGGGAGUACGGUCGCAAGAUUAAAACUCAAAGGAAUUGACGGGGGCCCGCACAAGCAGCGGAGCAUGUGGUUUAAUUCGAAGCAACGCGAAGAACCUUACCAGGUCUUGACAUCCAGGUAAAGCCGCAGAGAUGCGGUGUGUGCUUGCACGAUCUGAGACAGGUGGUGCAUGGUUGUCGUCAGCUCGUGCCGUGAGGUGUCGGCUUAAGUGCCAUAACGAGCGCAACCCUUGUCGUUAGUUGCCAUCAGGUAAUGCUGGGAACUCUAGCGAGACUGCCACCGUAAGGUGCGAGGAAGGGGGGGAUGACGUCAAAUCAGCACGGCCCUUACGUCCGGGGCGACACACGUGUUACAAUGGCAGGUACAGAGGGCAGCUACCCAGCGAUGGGGUGCGAAUCUCGAAAGCCUGUCUCAGUUCGGAUCGGAGUCUGCAACUCGACUCCGUGAAGUUGGAUUCGCUAGUAAUCGCGCAUCAGCCAUGGCGCGGUGAAUACGUUCCCGGGCCUUGUACACACCGCCCGUCAAGCCAUGGAAGCUGGGGGUGCCUGAAGUUCGUUACCGCAAGGAGCGACCUAGGGCAAAACUGGUAACUGGGGCUAAGUCGUAACAAGGUAACCAHAU
rnacentral:rRNA from 1 species